rnacentral:rRNA from 1 species
GACAGAGGGUGCAAACGUUGUUCGGAAUUACUGGGCGUAAAGCGCGUGUAGGCGGCCCGGAAAGUCGGAUGUGAAAGCCCUGGGCUUAACCCAGGAAGUGCAUUCGAAACUCCCGGGCUUGAGUUCUGGAGAGGAAGGCGGAAUUCUCGGUGUAGAGGUGAAAUUCGUAGAUAUCGAGAGGAACACCGGUGGCGAAGGCGGCCUUCUGGACAGUGACUGACGCUGAGACGCGAAAGCGUGGGAGCGAACAGG